rnacentral:rRNA from 1 species
AUUGAACGCUGGCGGCAGGCCUAACACAUGCAAGUCGAACGGUAACAGGAAGCAGCUUGCUGCUUUGCUGACGCGUGGCGGACGGGUGAGUAAUGUCUGGGAAACUGCCUGAUGGAGGGGGAUAACUACUGGAAACGGUAGCUAAUACCGCAUAACGUCGCAAGACCAAAGAGGGGGACCUUCGGGCCUCUUGCCAUCGGAUGUGCCCAGAUGGGAUUAGCUAGUAGGUGGGGUAACGGCUCACCUAGGCGACGAUCCCUAGCUGGUCUGAGAGGAUGACCAGCCACACUGGAACUGAGACACGGUCCAGACUCCUACGGGAGGCAGCAGUGGGGAAUAUUGCACAAUGGGCGCAAGCCUGAUGCAGCCAUGCCGCGUGUAUGAAGAAGGCCUUCGGGUUGUAAAGUACUUUCAUCGGGGAGGAAGGGAGUAAAGUUAAUACCUUGGCUCAUUGACGUUACCCGAAGAAGAAGCACCGGCUAACUCCGUG